UGGGGUGUGGCUCAGUGGAGAGCAUCUGCCUGGCAUGCUGAAAGUCCUGGGUUCAAUCCUCAGGACUACAA
rnacentral:tRNA from 1 species